UACGUAGGGGCGAGCGUUGUCCGGAUUUACUGGGCGUAAAGGGUAGGCAGGCGGAUCCAUAAGUUUAUCGUUUAAGGCGUCGGCUUAACCGGCGUAGGGCGGUAGAUACUGUGGAUCUGGAAUGCGGUUGGGGAAGACAGAAUUCCUGGUGUAGCGGUGGAAUGCGCAGAGAUCAGGAGGAAUACCGAAGGCGAAGGCAGUCUUCCAAGCCGUUAUUGACGCUCAACUGCGAAGGUGUGGGUAUCAAACAGGAUUAGAUACCCCGGUAGUCCCUGAGCGGGCU
rnacentral:rRNA from 1 species